AACGAACGCUGGCGGCAGGCCUAACACAUGCAAGUCGAGCGAGCAUUUCGGUGCUAGCGGCGGACGGGUUAGUAACGCGUGGGAACGUGCCCUUUGCUACGGAAUAGUCCUGGGAAACUGGGGGUAAUACCGUAUGUGCCCUUCGGGGGAAAGAUUUAUCGGCAAAGGAUCGGCCCGCGUUGGAUUAGGUAGUUGGUGGGGUAAUGGCCUACCAAGCCGACGAUCCAUAGCUGGUUUGAGAGGAUGAUCAGCAACACUGGGACUGAGACACGGCCCAGACUCCUACGGGAGGCAGCAGUGGGGAAUCUUAGACAAUGGGCGCAAGCCUGAUCUAGCCAUGCCGCGUGGACGAUGAAGGCCUUAGGGUUGUAAAGUCCUUUCAGCUGGGAAGAUAAUGACGGUACCAGCAGAAGAAGCCCCGGCUAACUCCGUGCCAGCAGCCGCGGUAAAGUAGUCGUG
rnacentral:rRNA from 1 species